rnacentral:lncRNA from 1 species
GGGUAUUUCAAAACCCUAUAGAGUAGAGUUCCCUGUGCUAUACAUAGGUCCUUGUUGGUUAUCUAUUUUAUACACAGUACAGUGUCUAGAUGUUAAUCCCAACCUCCUAGUUUAUUCCCUGCCCCACCCGCUUUCCCCUUUGGCAACCAUAAGUUUGCUUUCUCUCUGGUGAGUCUCUUUCUAAACGGGCCGUUUUUAAGAAAUUGAGACAUCUAUCGAUCUGCCUACAACAUUCACCUAGGCAGAGAAUCCUGGGAAACCUUGUUUUUUGGAAUUCUCUGCUGUCCAGUGGCUGUUCCGUCUUGAGUGCUGCAGCAGACAUGUGAGCAGAAGCCUUCCCUGGGCUCCUAGCAGUCUUCUCAUUAGACUCCUCUGGGCACAUCCAGCCUCCACCCACUCAUCUUCCAUGGUUGCAGGUAACCAAGGCCUCACAUACGGUAUAUUGCAGCCAACAGGAAUUCAGUCAACUUUAGGACAUCCCAGCUGUACAUGUUACAUCAAGUCACCAGCUUGCUGAUGGCAACCACGGCAUAAUUUGGUCUGGAGGAGACCGGAAGAAUUGAGAGAGUUCAAGACUUGUCCGUGAGUCCCCAAAGGUCCCAUAGCCUUGGAACUGAGCCCAGCUCUGCCCAAAACCCAGGGAUUCAGGAAUGGGGGAUUUUCUAAGGCUGGUUUACUUCUUGCGUACAUGUACACAUGCACACACGCACUCACACACACACACACACGCAUGUACGUAAUUGUUUUGAGAGUCAAGCUGCUUCUUUACUGAGAGCUGCCUUUCCAUAAAAAGAGGUCAGUUGCUUCUUCUGGAAGCCAUGCUAGCCUUUGGCUGGCCCCAGAAUUUCUCCCAUUCGACCAGUCCCUCUCUGGGCUGGGAGUCACAAGCAUUGUUCCCAAGAGCUGCCUGGCACUGCUUUUCCUAAGGACUGGAAAUUUUUGAGAACAAGAGCCAGGAUAGACUUUUUGAAAUUCCUUACAAUACUUUCAAAAAUAUAUACACUUAAAAAGUAACCCAGUGGUGGUGUUCCCUGGUGGCACAGUGGGUUAAGGAUCCAGUGUUGUCACUGCAGUGACUUGGGUUGCUGCUGUGGCCUGGGUUUGAUCCCUGGCCUGGAAACUUACACAUGCCUCAAGCACAGUGUCUCCCCCUCCCCCCAAAGGUAACCCAAUGAACAGCAAACAUUUUCUAUACUUUUAAAGUGUCUCCUGAUCUUGGCUUAUGAUAUAAUCAUGCAUUUUUUAUAGACCCCCAUCUCUGUGUGUUUCUUUUGCAUUUUACUUUCUGUCUAAAUAUCCUGCAGUAUACACUGCAAAACAUUUCCAUGUGUUUCAGUUAUUUGUUACUGUGUAACAAACUUCCUCAAUAUUUAGUGGCUUAAAACAACCUUGAUGUAUUAUUUUUCAGGAUCCUGUGAGUUGGGGGCUGGGUGAUUCUUCUGCUCCAUAGGGUGUUACUCAGAUAGCUGCAUUUUGCUGGGAGCUCAGCUGGGCAGCUUUGUUCCUUUUCUUGAGCU